GUCAAUAUAAAACACCAGAUACCAUGUCAAACAUCUCUAUAAAAGCUUGGAAAAUUUUAACUUGGAUGAGAAAACAAGCAAUCAAAGGUAAAAAGUCCCAGCUAAAAAUUUAACUCCCAAAGAUUCAACCAAGCUGAUCGUUGUUGAAUUAUGCACUUCUCAACCCACCAAGAGGAUGCAAACGCAUGAAAUGUGUAGUAUCGCUAGUGGCUGCAUCAGGGUUAACUGGAUUCCUUGUUGAUUACAGUUUCUAUUGCACUUCUAACAAAACAUUCCACUUGAAAAACAAGGAAAAUUAAAGCUCAAUUAGGCAAAAAGGAGUUCCAUUAAUUUGUAUGCUGCUACUUAACAAGGAACGAAAACAAAAGCCUCGCGUCUUUCUGCAAUUCUAUAUAACAAUCUCAUGUUACGAUGGGGAACGUUUUGCAACCCAAGAAAAGAAUUCGAUUCUAUAACCUAGCCAAGAAUUUCCUUGAUCUUCGUCUUUUGGUCUUUUGUUAGUGAGUUGGGAAAAAGAACCUCAAAUGUGACAUAAAGAUCACCUUUCUUUGUACUAGAAUGCAGUGGCAUCCCUUCACCUUUGAACUUCCUUACUGCCUUGGGCUUAGUGAUUCCCUGUACAAGGUUUACAGCUGUCAUUUUUUUUAGAGCAAAUUAUGUCAUUGUUAUUUCACACUUUACUGUUCAUGAAAUUAUUAAUUCAAAGUAAUUAUAAUGAGCUUUAACUCAACAGUAUUAGAUUGUUCUUAUGAUAAAAUUGUAAGGUCUCAAAUUCUAGUCCAAAACUGACAAUAAGAGCCAAACAAACCAAAAUAAAAUAUAUUUUAAAGUAAAUAUGACAGGAGCUAUGGAGAAUACGUUGCACACUAACCUUUGUGCUGAUGUCCACUAAAUGUUCAUCGAGGUGUUUAAGGGUCUUCUCAAAACCAACAAGUGCUUGAACCUGACAAAAAUUGAGGUUCAGGAAAUCAACUCUUACGUAGGAAUUACAGUUUUUGUCCCAGCAUUUACACAACACAAAGCAAGAAGAAGGCACAAGAGAUGUGCCAUGUGCAUGAAAAAAUUUACCAGUGUGAUGGUCACAGUUGUGUGCAAGUCACUGCCUUCCCUUCUGAAGUGAUCAUGGGGUUCUGCACGAAUACGGAACUGCAAGUUUGUGAUGGUUAUAAUUCUAUCAGUACAAAAACAAAAGUAACAUACAGCAAUGUCAAAGUUAACAGUUAAAAACUAACCCUCAAAUCUCCAGGCUCCCCAUCUAUUAUUGGUUCACCGUCUUCGUAGAAAACCACCUCCUGCAACAAGCAUAAAACAUUUAUUUUAGAUAUCUGCAAUGACAACACAAGCAAUUUGCUCACAACACCAUUAAUAUAAACCACUAUCACCUCUCUUAUAAAUGUAGAAUGUAGCAAGCAUUUGUAAAUUUGAAAUUCACUUUUGGGGGGAAGUUGCAAUAUUUGCAUUGUUCCACAGUGAGGUACAUUUUUAUAUAUGGGAAAUGAGAAUACAGCAUUAUGCGUGCACCAUCACAUGUUUGAUAAGACAAUGUUUCAAACAGCACCCAAGGAGGCAAGCCAUAAAAAUAGUUCAUAAUCACUCCCAGACAAGCAAGCACACAAAAAGUCAGAAAUGCCUAAAGGUGAAAGUGAAAUAAAAGAUAAAAUACCGAACCAUUCACAUCAACUCCAAGCAUUAUUACACAGCAUUUAACACACUUUCAUCACAGACAUUUCAAGGCUAAGAAACCUAUACCAUUAUGCAACAAAGGACUUCCAUAGCAGAUAGGCAGCAAAUUGGUGCAAGGCAUUAAACAGGUAAUUAGAAAAGAAAAAACAAAGGGAUAGCAAUUUUCAUAUGCAUGGAGUUAGAAAUGCCAAGUUCCCCAUCACAAUGUGAUUGUUAAGCAAGUAAAAUAAGAGGGUACGGACAGCUUACUUGUCCAUCUUGCAUGCCUUUCUCAAUAUCAACUGUAAUAAAAUAUCCCUCUCGUUCAUAUUUGACAUUUUGGCAUUGAUCACAGACCUGCUCUGUCAUCUGCUGAAACAUCCCUGGACCAAUUUGCUUAUGAUAGACUUGAUUUCUGCAGUUACAGCGUCUUUUACCAGGCGCUGGCUUUAUAACAUUUUUUUCCCUCCAAACCUUCUGUGAGCCACCCAUGUACAAGUCUUCUAGUGUCGCAUCCAAUUCAACAAUUACAUCAUCACCCUUUGCCAUUCUCUCUUCCUCUUCCAUGUCACCUCCUCCACCAAAGAAACUAGAAAGACCAUUUUGUUGCAUUAAUGAAUUUUAAUGUAACUUAUUACAAAAGUGACACAAUGUUAAAAUAAUUGUCAGAUGGAACGAAGGCUUAUGCAUGCAUAAAGACCCACAAAUUUCUAGAGGAAAACAUCAUAACCAUAAUACUAUGUACUUUGAACUUAUGAGGACAGUCCCAGGAUGAAGAAGAAUAAUAUCUGACCAACAUGAGUCAGAACUACAAAGCAGUUUAGGAAUGCAUGACAGAACAUGAGUACAGGAAUGCUAAGUGCCGUAUUAAGCAAACAAGCAUCUGAAAGGUUUUACAAGUAAAAGAACAAACCACAUUGUUUUCACCUGAAGCUAAAGCUAGAUAGGAUUAUUCAUAAGACAAAAUUAAAGAGAUGAAGGAUUUAUGGAUUAUAGAAACAUGUUGUUGUAACCUGAAGCUGAAGUUAUUUUUCAUUUUUGAGGAUUAUAACAUAGCCAAAUUAUACCAGAAUCAAACUAACCCACUAAAUCUAAAGACACCAAUCAUCCCAGAACUAUAUAACGAAGGUAACACAUACCAUUCAAUUGGAAUUAUUUUGGAUAGCGAUUGAAAAAGAAGAACAACUUACUUUUUGAAAAUGUCGCUAAUGUCCAUCCCCAUUCCACCACCUCUCCCUCCACUAGCCAUGUGCUGCUUAAGCCCUUCUUCUCCAUACUUAUUGUAGAUAUCCCUCUUUUGGUUGUCCGAUAACACCUCGUACGCAUUGUUAAUCUCAGCAAAUCGCUUAUUAGCCUCUUCAUUUCCCGGAUUCUUAUCAGGAUGGUACUUCAAUGCCAGCUUUCUAUAGGCUCUCUUGAUCUGUUCGUCCGAUGCGCUCCUCGGCACUUGCAAUAUAUCGUAAUAGCUUUCCCCUGCAACGGCGGUGAGAGCGUACGAUAGAGCGCAUAACAGAAAGAGAAUGUUUGCUCUUCGAAACGCCAUUGAAGAUUUAAAUCAGGAGAGAGUUUGAUCUCUCCAAAUCCGAAAACCUAAAAUGAUUCUAUUAUUAGAUCUUUUCACACCUCCUGCAAUUGCAGUUUUCGAGUUUCUGUCUCUCUCUCUCGCGCCCGCGCUCUUCUUCUGGGCUUUGUAAUUUCUGGGAGACUAGAGUCCUUGAAAGUAGAGGGUAGGGAGCUAGCCAAGAAGUUAAGCACCAAAACGGAAGGCAC
rnacentral:misc_RNA from 1 species